rnacentral:lncRNA from 1 species
CGGCAGUGCCGAAGUGGGUAAGUCUUGAUGUAGUAAAUAAGUUGAGGCUCAGAUCUGUUAUUGUCGGACGAGAGAAAGUCCAAUCCGCCAUGGCUGCAAAUCACCGGUUGCAUGUGAUCAGAAAAAUCACAUGCCAUCCGUGUUGCCUCGCCAAGUUACGGGGCCGAUCGUCUCGUUGUCCGACUCAUAAGCUCAGAGGAAUCAAGAAACAUCGUCACAGCCACUUUAUUUACUUCAAAACAUACCGCUAAAUAAUAGCAUUACUCAAAACUCAUAAUCUCAAAAGCUUUGCCAAGUAGGGAAAAUACUUGAAGGGUAAAUUUCAUUCGCAGUCACCAAACUUGGAAGAGCGGAAUGUGGAAAAAGUUUUGUAAAAACCCUAAACCAUAACCCAUUACAUAUAGUACCCAAACAAUGGCUGAAUCUCUGUCUCUUUCUCUCUAUAUACACAUAGAUUUGAGAUUUCCAUAUGUAUGUAUGUAUGUUAAAGGGUUGUUAGUGAGUUGUUGAUAGAUGAAUCAUUGGCGAAGAGGAAGGGGUAACAACCCUUAACAAAUCCCCAAUCUUCUCCCCUCAUUCUACCCUCUGAGCUUAACCUGUUGCCUGACUGCUGAAGGGCUUGUUACUUACACCCUGUUUGGCCCCCAUUACCUGAAAAUGGUAAUGGGGGGAAUAGUAUUUUUUAGAAAAAUGAGUGGUUGAAAAAGAAGGUAAAGUUUUCGAUUUACGUGUAAUAUUAUUUUAUAGAAGAUUGUAUGGUUGAAAA